CACGUAGGAGGCGAGCGUUGUCCGGAAUCAUUGGGCGUAAAGAGCGCGCAGGCGGCUUGGCAAGUCGGGUGUGAAAUCCCGGGGCUCAACCCCGUGACUGCAUCCGAUACUGUCAGGCUAGAGGUAGGUAGGGGAGAUCGGAAUUCCUGGUGUAGCGGUGAAAUGCGCAGAUAUCAGGAGGAACACCGGUGGCGAAGGCGGCUCACUGGUCCGGUACUGACGCUGAGGUGCGAAAGCGUGGGGAGCAAACAGG
rnacentral:rRNA from 1 species